rnacentral:snRNA from 1 species
AUACUUACCUGGAAGAGGUAAGUAUGAAGAUUAUGAAGGUGAUAGUCCCAGAGUGAGGCUCAUCCAUUGCACACAGGAUAUGCAGAUCUCUGUGAUUUCUCCAACUAGGGAAAACCUGACUGCGUAAUUUAUAGCAGUGGGGCACUGUGGCUUGCACUAGCCCCUG